UCCUCUUUAUAUAAUUUGAGGUAGAACCUGCUCAAUGCAUUGGUAAAUAGCCGCAGUAUUUUGACUGUGCGAAGGUAGCAUAAUAAGUUGGCUUAUAAUUUGAGUCUGGAAUGAAUGGUUUGACAAGGGUAAGACUUUAUUUGAAAUAGUUGUGGAAUUUGAACUAAGAGUAAAAAUGCUCUUAUGAUUUUGAGGGACGAAAAGACCCUAUAGAUCUUUUAAUCAUAUGACUGUGUGAUUUUAUUUGGGAUGAAUCUAUUAAGCAAACUAUAGUUAUAUUAAUUUAGACUAAAAUGUCAUCAGUUGAUCCACUGUAGAGUGAUAUAAUGAAAAAGAUACCUUAGGGAUAACAGGAUAAUAGUCAUUUUCAAGAUCAUAUUGAAAGUAACGAUUAUCACCUCGAUGUUGAAUUAUGAUCUCCCACUUGGGUAAAAGAAAGAAGGGUUGGUCUGUUCGACCAUUAAAAUC
rnacentral:rRNA from 1 species